GCAAAACGCAAACCUCAAAUCAGAAACGCUAAAACCUCCAGCGACGGAUCCAAAACGCAUUGCAAAAUCUCUGAAGCAACAGCACUCAGCUUGAAUCUGGCUUCAAUGAAGGUCGAUAAGAGCUGAAGAACUUGAUGGAAAUCGGAGAAUUUGCUUUGUCUCUGGUCGAGUUAUCAAAGAAGAAUAGCUAGCCCGUUUGCUUUCAAUGUGAACUAAUCGGUUGGCCAGAUGCGGGCAGACUAGAGAUUGAUAGAAGUUGUGUUGGAAUUAGAACAAGGGCUGGGAAGUUUUGGUUUGUUCGGACUACGCAACAUAAAGUUUGAUGCAGGAAAGUAUGGAUGUACAACGAAGGUGCUGGGUUUGAAAUUUAUGUCGUCAAGGCAUAAACAAACAAAGAGGAAUCCUUGUAAAAUGAAUAACACCAGCGAGUGCAGUAGCAGGAUUGGACGAUGACGAGUGCAGUAGCAGAACACGAGUACGAGGGCAGUAGCAGAACUGGACGGAGUAUGAGUGCAGCGAGUGCAGUAGUAGGAUUGGACGAGUGCAGUAGCAGGAUUAGGCGAUGACGAGGGCAGUAGCAGAACUGGACGAGUAUGAGUGCAGCGAGUGCAGUAGCAGGAUUGGACGAGUGCAGUAGCAGGAUUAGGCAAUGACGAGGGCAGUAGCAGAACUGGACGAGUAUGAGUGCAGCGAGUGCAGUAGCAGGAUUGGACGAGUGCAGUAGCAGGAUUAGGCAAUGACGAGGGCAGUAGCAGAACUGGACGAGUAUGAGUGCAGCGAGUGUAGUAGCAGGAUUCGACGAGUGCAAUAGCAGGAUUAGGCGAUGACGAGGGCAGUAACAGAACUGGACGAGUAUGAGUGCAGCGAGUGCAGUAGCAGGAUUGGAUGAGUGCAGUAGCAGGGUUAGACGAGUGCAGUAGCAGGAUU